rnacentral:rRNA from 1 species
AUGCUGGAGCAGCUUGAUGUAUCUUAUAACAACUUGGAAGGGGCUGUUCCUACAAGUGGGAUCUUUGAGAAUUCUACCGCAGUACUUCUGGAUAAUAACAAGGGACUCUGUUCGAAUUUCUCCAGGCUGGCAUUACCAAUUUGUCCUGGCAUCUCAGCUUCAGCAAAUAAAACAAAGCAUCAUAUGUCCUCGCUGGCAACCUUGCUGCUAGUUGUACUACCACCACUUACUAUUGCUUUCGUAGUCUUGCUAUGGUUUCUACCCACUCUUUGGAAGAGAGCGGUAUUCUCAUUUUUACAAUUGGCUGUUGUGUCCAAGAAGAUGUUUCGUUUUGUUACCCAUCACAAGAGAAAAGAAGUGCAUACAGUUCCGCGCAACGAUGAGAAGAAGCUGAAGAGGGUGUCAUAUCAGGACAUUCUUAAAGCUACCAACUGGUUUUCUUUGCUUCAUACUAUUAGCUCAACCUCUACUGGGUCAGUUUAUGUUGGUAGGUUCAAGUCCGACAGGAGAUUGGUUGCCAUCAAAGUUUUCAACUUGAGUGAACCUAGCGGAAGUGAUAGUUACUUUAUUGAGUGUGAAGUGCUAUGA